CUUGAGGAGGCCUAUUCAAAUGCUCUGCUGAUUGAUCCAUCUAUUCGCAGAUCAAAAUCAUUCAAGGCUAAGGUCACGAAACUUCAAGAGAAGCUGGUGGUUUCUGAUGCAUCAUCCUGACUGCAAUUGUCAAUCGUGAUAUUGUGCUGAGAGUGCUUGUGCUUUGGUCUCACCUUUUUCGGUUCUCACUGUCAUUUGAUAUAGCUUGCUGCUUUGUCGAAUGAUUCGGUUUGAUGUUAUUUGGGCUUCCCUGUUCUCUGAGCUUAUUGCCAGAAGUAGAAGGAAUUGUUUUUGUAUGUUGACAAAUGAUUCCUGUGAAGUUUCAUGAGGACAAAUGAUUCCUGUGAAGUUUUUUACUUUUGGUGUUUGCAUUGGUGAGCUGAUAUAUUGUACUGAAUGUGGUUGUGCUUUGGUCUCACCUUUUUUGUUUCUCAUUGUCACUUGUGGUGUUUGCUUCUAUGGUGAAUGAUUGUGACUUAUAGUAUACUUUAAUAUAUUGGCAUCUGAUGGUUUGUGGUUUGGUA